UACGUAGGGUGCAAGCGUUAAUCGGAAUUACUGGGCGUAAAGCGUGCGCAGGCGGUUAUGCAAGACAGAGGUGAAAUCCCCGGGCUCAACCUGGGAACUGCCUUUGUGACUGCAAGGCUAGAGUACGGCAGAGGGGGAUGGAAUUCCGCGUGUAGCAGUGAAAUGCGUAGAUAUGCGGAGGAACACCAAUGGCGAAGGCAAUCCCCUGGGCCUGUACUGACGCUCAUGCACGAAAGCGUGGGGAGCAAACAGG
rnacentral:rRNA from 1 species